rnacentral:rRNA from 1 species
ACACUCCUACGGGAGGCAGCAGUGGGGAAUUUUGGACAAUGGGCGAAAGCCUGAUCCAGCAAUGCCGCGUGAGUGAAGAAGGCCUUCGGGUUGUAAAGCUCUUUUGUCAGGGAAGAAACGGUGAAAGCUAAUAUCUUUUGCUAAUGACGGUACCUGAAGAAUAAGCACCGGCUAACUACGUGCCAGCAGCCGCGGUAAUACGUAGGGUGCAAGCGUUAGUCGGAAUUACUGGGCGUAAAGCGUGCGCAGGCGGUUUUGUAAGUCUGAUGUGAAAUCCCCGGGCUCAACCUGGGAAUUGCAUUGGAGACUGCAAGGCUAGAAUCUGGCAGAGGGGGGUAGAAUUCCACGUGUAGCAGUGAAAUGCGUAGAUAUGUGGAGGAACACCGAUGGCGAAGGCAGCCCCCUGGGUCAAGAUUGACGCUCAUGCACGAAAGCGUGGGGAGCAAACAGGAUUAGAUACCCCGGUAGUCCCAUG